GAUUAUUCUUUUCUUGGUAGUUUCCCUUUCUUAUAAGAAAAUGAUGGAAAAUAUUUCAAGUUGUCCUCCGUUAGAUCACCUGCAUGAAGAUCUUUGAAUUUCUGAAAUUCGAAGGAAAUUUCCCUAAUGGUUCCGUCCAACUUUAAAUUGAAACCGGAUAAAAUUUUACGUACUCAAAUCAAAUUGAAAUCAUUUUACCCCUGAAAUUGGAUUAAAAUUGAAGCAGAUGGUUUUGUUUUGAUCCCAUUUAAACAAGGCUUUUUUUUUUUUUUUUUU
rnacentral:misc_RNA from 1 species